CUGGCUUUUGGUGGAGUCUCCUGUCUGAUAGGCUUCGUUAUUUCUAGACUUAUCAGAUCACCAUCGUCCUUGGACAGCUCCAAAAACCUACAUGUGAAUACUCUGGGCAGAGGCUGGAAACUUGAGGUAUAUUCCUUGGUUUUUUAGAAAAAGAAAAAAAAAACCCAGUAGCCGCUAACUUAAUUGGUUUUGACGAUUUGUACUUGAUAUAAUAGUUUAUGUUUAAACUUAAUCGGUUACUUGAAUAGUGUUAAGAAAACUAUAAUUUUAAGUUUAUAAUUGAUUUUCACAUGUAUUUUUACAGACUCAUAGUCUUGUUUUUCAGAAAUUUUUUUAAUAGCAUGUUUUUCAAAAAUUUGAUUUGAAGUGGUGGGGCUAUUUUUGUUAUGGGUUUGAACUUGUAAGCUGUAACUGGGCGUAAUUUGGGCUUGGGCAGUACACUGAGCACGCAUAGCCGAACCAGUCUUCUAUGUUAUUCACUGAAG